GGGAACAUGGUCUAGGGGUAUGAUUCUUGCUUUGGGUGCAAGAGGUCGGGGGUUCGAGUCCCCCUGUUCCCC
rfam:Coccomyxa subellipsoidea C-169, whole genome shotgun sequence.